rnacentral:rRNA from 1 species
AGGUUAAGUUAACAAGGGCGCAUGGUGAAUGCCUUGGCACUAGGAGCCGAUGAAGGACGGGACUAACACCGAUAUGCUUCGGGGAGCUGUACGUAAGCUAUGAUCCGGAGAUUUCCGAAUGGGGCAACCCAGCAGUUUUAAUCAACUGUUACCACUAGAUGAAUUCAUAGUCUAGUUGGAGGUAAACGCUGUGAACUGAAACAUCUCAUUAGCAGCAGGAAUAUAAAGAAAUUUCGAUUCCCUAAGUAGCGGCGAGCGAACGGGGAACAGCCCAAACCAAAGUGCUUGCACUUUGGGG